rnacentral:rRNA from 1 species
CACGUAGGGCGCAAGCGUUGUCCGGAAUUAUUGGGCGUAAAGAGCUCGUAGGCGGUCUGUUGCGUCCGCUGUGAAAACUCGGGGCUUAACCCCGAGCCUGCAGUGGAUACGGGCAGACUAGAGGUAGGUAGGGGAGAAUGGAAUUCCCGGUGUAGCGGUGAAAUGCGCAGAUAUCGGGAGGAACACCGGUGGCGAAGGCGGGUCUCUGGGCCGAUAUUGACGCUGAGGAGCGAAAGCGUGGGGAGCGAACAGG